GAUCAUUAGUUGAAGGUGAAACGCGUUUUGAUCUUCUUUCUUGACAUUUAUGGUUUCUCAGCUGUCUUUUUCGCAUUUGCGCUGCCGGCAUGGAUAAACCAUUUUUCUGCUCGAUACAAGUCCUCCAAGAAGCAGCAGCCGAUUAAUCCCAUCACACAGCAAGGCUGGCCGUUUCUUCGGUACCACACAACACGACAAACUGACGAUUGAAGGUCUUCACCUCGAUACUCAUUUUCGUGAGCGUUCGGGAAGGAACUUUUCAAUUUGAAUUCGUUGCCUCUACUGUAGAGUCCGGAAUGUAUAAUUCGUUUCAUCCAAUUUAUGGACAAUACCGUAAGCUUUGACACUCUAGUUUGAGUAAUCUUAACAGCUGAACCUGAACAUGCCAGAGCAAAGGGAAUGACAUAAUCGGUAGGUAAUCGAAGUUGAAGAAGUAGUCUAUUUGCGUGAAUAACCCGUGAGCUUCUGGUUUUUUCGGGAAAUUCUUUCUUUCGCCUUUUCAAUGCUGUUUUGAAUUUGAACACAGUCACUGGAAUAAGUGGCCUCGGGAGCUAAAAAGGGAAGCCGAUGGGUAUUUCGGUCGUUGAUUUCAAAAGCGGACGUUUACUGCAAGUACUUGACUUCCACCAAUCAGAACCGCUAUUCACUUUCAGCCUAUUCCACCACUACUGUUAUUAUAAUACCGCAGCAGUUUGGGAUUAGUUUGAUUCGAGUUCUCAAUAGGCACUUUGACGGAUUGAUUUCCGCAUCACGGAAUACUUCGCUGAAAUUAUGAUUUAAUUUUAUAAUUCUUCUAUGGUGAUUUAUUUGACUAUUUUGAAGUCCCACGUAUGAAGAGCUGGGACUGAACCAUUAGCGGAUGACGUUAAGCCAUUUCCCAGCCAUUUCCCUUUCAUCAUAGGAAAGUAAUUGGUGCGUGACAGAUAGGAUUCACUAGCUACUCCAUUUACCAACAUUUUCGCAUGAAAAACUUUAUCCAUCUUCUAUCAAAUUGCCUUGUGUAUUUACGAUGAAAAGUGCAGUGAAGCCUUUGAUAAA